UACGGAAGGUCCGGGCGUUAUCCGGAUUUAUUGGGUUUAAAGGGAGCGCAGGCUGGAUGUUAAGCGUGACGUGAAAUGCCGCGGCUCAACCGUGGAAGUGCGUCGCGAACUGUCAUUCUUGAGUGGGUACGGCGCCGGCGGAAUUUGUGGUGUAGCGGUGAAAUGCUUAGAUAUCACGAAGAACCCCGAUUGCGAAGGCAGCCGGCGAGUCCCUUACUGACGCUAAAGCACGGAGGUGCGGGUAUCGAAC
rnacentral:rRNA from 1 species